CCUACGGGAGGCAGCAGUGGGGGAUAUUGCACACUGGGGGAAACCCUGAUGCAGCGACGCCGCGUGAGUGAAGAAGUAUUUCGGUAUGUAAAGCUCUAUCAGCAGGGAAGAAAAUGACAGUACCUGACCAAGAAGCCCCGGCUAACUACGUGCCAGCAGCCGCGGUAAUCCGUAGGGGGCAAGCGUUAUCCGGAUUUACUGGGUGUAAAGGUAGCGUAGACGGUUAUGUAAGUCAGGAGUGAAAGCCCGGGGCCCAACCCCGGGACUGCUGUGGAAACUGUGUAACUGGAGUGCAGGAGGGGCAGGCGGAAGUCCUGGUGUAGGGGUGAAAUGCGUAGAUAUCAGGAGGAACACCAGCGGCGAAGGCGACCUGCUGGACUGAAACUGACGUUGAGGCUCGAAAGCGUGGGGAGCAAACAGGAUUAGAUACCCUAGUAGUC
rnacentral:rRNA from 1 species